rnacentral:rRNA from 1 species
GACGUAGGGCGCGAGCGUUGUCCGGAUUUAUUGGGCGUAAAGAGCUCGUAGGCGGCUUGUUGCGUCAGCUGUGAAAACCCGCAGCUCAACUGUGGGCUUGCAGCUGAUACGGGCAGGCUUGAGUUCGGCAGGGGAGACUGGAAUUCCUGGUGUAGCGGUGAAAUGCGCAGAUAUCAGGAGGAACACCGGUGGCGAAGGCGGGUCUCUGGGCAGUAACUGACCGUGGAGGAACGAAAGCGUGGGGAGCAACAGG